rnacentral:rRNA from 1 species
AACUUUCAACAACGGAUCUCUUGGUUCUGGCAUCGAUGAAGAACGCAGCGAAAUGCGAUAAGUAAUGUGAAUUGCAGAAUUCAGUGAAUCAUUGAAUCUUUGAACGCACAUUGCGCCCCUUGGUAUUCCGAGGGGCAUACCUGUUCGAGCGUCAUUG